rnacentral:rRNA from 1 species
UACGAAGGGGGCUAGCGUUAUUCGGAGUUACUGGGCGUAAAGCGCGUGUAGGCGGUUAGAUGAGUGAGGUGUGAAAUCCCGGAGCUUAACCCGGGAACUGCCUCGAAGACUGGCGGCCUGGAGCAGAGGAGAGGCGAGCGGAAUUUCGAGUGUAGAGGUGAAAUUCGUAGAGAUUCGGAGGAACGCCGGUGGCGAAGGCGGCCCGCUGGACUCUUGCUGACGCUGAGACGCGAAAGCGUGGGGAGCAAACAGG